rnacentral:lncRNA from 1 species
UAGUUUUCAUUCUUAUUUAUGGGCAGACAGGAGGAGUUACUAUCCUUUUUGUGUUUUUUGUGGUGGGUACAGUAACUAGUCUUUGCAAGGAUAAAAAGUGUUGAAACUUACGAUUGAAAGUGGCUUUGGUAUUUACACAAUUUUACCUAAAAGGCGCUAGGAAAACCUUGAAGAUUGUCAUAGUUAAAGCCAGCAUCAAGGUUCUUUGGUUCAGUAUCAUCCCAAUUCAAAAAGGCUUCUAUGGGACCCUUUUCUUCCCAUUGCUAGCAAGUGGAGGGAACUGUUUCGGAUAUGAACUUGCAGAAUAUCUGAAUGAAGUCGAGGAACCUUCAGGUGCAGGAUGAAAAGAGGUUUGGGGCUGAGUGGACCUAAACUGCUAGAUGGGGAUGGGGAUUUGAGAGAGCAAAACUCGACUACUGGUUGCUAUUGUAAGUUGAAGGAAAGACUAAAAGAACGGCAAAAGGGGGAAGGGCUGAACUGCCGAAGCUUGAAAGUCGAUGGCUAAUGGGGAUGGGGAUUUGAGAGACCAAAACUCGACUAUUGGCUGUUGCUGUAGGUUGAAAGAAAGAGAGAAAGAA